UUCAAGGGGGCUGAAUACUUUCGCAAGGCACUGUAUUUCUAAUAGGCCUAAGGAAAUGAAAUUCACCACAGAAUAAUCCACAUGUACACAAGGAAAUCCAUUCAAAUCAGUCUGUCAAAUAAGUUAUAUGAAAUAUAGUGGAAAAGCAAAGGGAAAAAAGAUUAAUCAACUUACUAAAUGUAUUUGAUACUUUUAUUGUCAUAUCCUACCUGUGCUUGAGCUUUGAGAUAGUGUUUUUGUUUACUUUUCUCAGCAAGGUGUUUUCUGUUCAUUUAGGUUUAGUGGAUCUCUUGUUUAGUUUGUGUUACUUUCUGAUUCUGGUGUUUCAUGUGUUUAUGUUUCUUUUACCUUUAGAUUUGUUUUCACUUGGUUUUGUAUUCUAGUCUAGUUUCUGUGUUUACCUUCUGUUCAGUUCCUCAUUUCCUGGUUAAUUCCCGUUGCUAUCAUACUAAUCAGUCAACCCCUCUGUCUUCCUGCAGCUCUAGUCCACACCAGUGCCAUAUUCACUUCUGAUUACCUUGUCUCCCAGCUCAGUGGCUUACACUUCACUCCCCUCAGUACUUAAGCUCUCUGGUUUUAUUGUUCUCUACUGGUUCCACUGGCUGGAGGUCAGCUGGACACUUCAGCACCUGCUCACUCUCCUGACUCUGUUCCGGAGCGGUUCGAGGAUGAACCGCCUCCACUUCCUGUUCCUGUCCUGGAUGGGUUUGAGAACAAACUGCCUUCACUUCCUGUUCUCGUUCUGGAGGGGUUGGAGGACUAACCACCUCCACUUCCUGUUCCGGAGGAGUUCGAGGAUGAACAGCCCACACUUCUGGUUCCUGUUCCGGGGGGGUUCAAGGACGAACUGCCUCCAUCUUUAGAACCUCAAGGGCCCCGCCACAGAUCUUCAGGGCUCCAGCAGUUCCUGCACCGCUCUCUAGAACCCCAUCAUGGGUGCAACUGACUUCCACGCCGUUCUCCAGAGCUCCUCCGAGGGUCCUCUACACUGCUCAGUCGGGCUCCAGACCACCUGCUCCUUCGUCGCAGGCCUCCUAGACUCCUUCUUAGUCUUUGACGGCCACUGUGGUUUCAACCUCCCGGCCGUCCACCUGAACUCUAUUUUGUUUUGUUUUCUGGUUCUUGCCCUCCUUCCGAGGCCCCCGCCGCCCGCCAUGUUCGGGUUGUGGUUUUGUCUCUGGUUCUUAGUUUAUUUUUCCUCGUAGAUCUUGUUUCCCCCAUGUUAAUGUCCUUUAGUUCAGUAGACAUGUCCCUGUUUUUUCCUGCAUCCUCUCUAUGUUCAUGUGAAUUAGUCACUCUCCCUCUGUAUUGUUUAAGUUCCCCGGUCUCCAGCUGUUUCACAUUCUCCUGAUUAGCUCCUCUCCCAGUUCAUUGGUUCACACUCCACUUCCCUCAGUAUUUAAACUGUGUUUCAUUGUUUGCUACUUGUUCCUCCUGAUCCCUAUCUGUUCUGUCUGUCACCUUGUCGUCGCCUCGUCGGCUACCUGGAUUGUCACCUGAAGUCAUGCCUCUGUUGGUUGUUCUCCUGCCUCAACUCCUGUACCUGGUCAACCUGAGUUUUCUGGAUGACCAAGAUUAUCUACGUUCUGAGGACUUCGUUUCCUAACUAUUGUUCCCGUCUGGAUUACCGACCAAGCUGGCAGUUUCCUGCUUCCUCCAUCUCCAGGACCUAAGCUUAAGCGUACCCUGUCCACCCUCCAAAGCAAGUAUCUGCACAAACGAACUAACUCAAUCAUCUCCAAGCUCACCUAAGAAGCACCUAAGAAAUCAACAGAACAAACUCUGCUACGACAACCUGGAUCUCAAAUCCCUCUACCCCUGGCGACCUGACCGCACCUACUUAUAGCAAGAAUUGGUGACUGAGCAGGAUGCAGAAAAGUCAAACUGGAUGAAUGCAUCUUGGCCCAAACUAAUGUCGGUAGUAACAGCAUAUCGGGUAUUAGACUUCUCAAUGAAGGCAAAAGCAGGACCGUCAG